GAUCCUGGCUCAGGAUGAACGCUAGCGACAGGCCUAACACAUGCAAGUCGAGGGGCAGCGCGGGUAGCAAUACUCUGGCGGCGACCGGCGCACGGGUGCGUAACAGGUGUGCAAUCUGUCCAUAGUCGGGGGAUAGCCCAGCGAAAGCUGAAUUAACACUCCAUGUGAAUCGAAGCCGCAUGACUUUGAUUUGAAACGUAAGGACUAUGGGUGAGCACGCUUCUGAUUAGAUAGUUGGUGAGGUAACGGCUCACCAAGUCGACGAUCAGUAGGGGUUCUGAGAGGAAGGUCCCCCACAUUGGAACUGAGACACGGUCCAAACUCCUACGGGAGGCAGCAGUGAGGAAUAUUGGUCAAUGGGCGAGAGCCUGAACCAGCCAAGUCGCGUGAAGGAUGAAGGUUCUAUGGAUUGUAAACUUCUUUUGUCCGAGGGUAAAAAGGCUACGUGUAGCUUCUUGCAAGUAUCGGACGAAUAAGCAUCGGCUAACUCCGUGCCAGCCGCCGC
rnacentral:rRNA from 1 species